CAUCGACCAUGAGGCCAUAUAUUUAUACAUACAGAAGAUCUUGACCUAAUAAGAUAAGGAAAGUCUAUAAACCCGUAUAUCUCCAAAUAGGAAGUAUUACAUAUUCCAAUAGUAUAAAACAUGUUUAAGGGUAGUCGUAGUACAAAGGUGGUAAAUUCAUGUUGCACAAAAAGAGCCAAACGACAAUAAGAGGCUUAAAUUAACCCACCCAUUUUCAAAAGAUAAGGUUGAGUAAUUUAUCAACACCAGAGCAACAUGUGUAUGUCGCUUGGCUGGCUCAGCGAACGGUGCCGGAAGUCAUCGAUGGUGCUGGAAAUUUUUACAGGAAACUUCAUGCUUUCCCAAUCACGAUUCUGGCAUGUCCUCCUUUUAUCACCUGAAGAUUCUUUUGCAGAUGUAGUUUGAGAGGGAAAUCUAGAAUUUUAGAUUCUUCACUGGGUUUGUCUACCGGUCAGCUUUGAUUCUCAGCCGUGAUUCCAUGACCAUAUUGUGACAACCCGUCCCCAUGCUGGCCCUGCAGAACAUGGACUCCAACCCCUCACUUAUGAACUCUGCAACGGAAGAGAUCGGAAAUAUAACACAAACCAAAAAAGUAAAGUUUGAACUAUUUCUCUCUAAAGGAUCUUAAGGAGAGAAGAAAGAGAGAAUGCGUUUCUUUUUCCACUGUCGAUAGAAAUUUUCUAUUAACA
rnacentral:lncRNA from 1 species